rnacentral:lncRNA from 1 species
GGAUAGACGAUUAUAGCACCACCACCACCCAAAAAAAAAACUUCAAUAAAAAGGAUAGUAUAAGCUACUUUGGUUUCAUAUUCUUAGCUACUAAGUUAAUGAUGACACAAAAGCUAGUGCAAAAUUAAGAUGAACUCUUUAGCUGAUGCUUAGAAUGUAUUUGUGUGGCUGAUAGGUUUUGCCUGCAGAAAUCUAAGGAAAGAAAACCCAUUCAUUCACUUGGCAGCCCCUCACUUGGCAGCCCCUCAUGCAUAAAGAUGGUUUCUGCCUUGAAGUCGGCAGUCUGUACCUGGGCAUGGGUCAGACUUUAAUAUUGAACAUAAAUAAUAUUUGACUAAGCAAACAGCUGCCUCACUGUAGAAAAAGCACCUUUUCCUGAUGCUAGGAUGUGUUAAACUGGCCUGGCUGUGUGCAUUAGUCAAUGUCCCAUUGGUUUUGCUCUGUCCUGAAGAAAACUUACCUUUGAAGCUUUUUGGAAGGAGUUUCUGGGGAAAAAGAAAAAAAAAAAAAAAGAAUACUUUUCAGUUUCUCUCAGUUCUUUGAGUCAUCCAAAAUGAAUUUAAAAUCUGGGGAGCAGAGGUGAACUCAUUGCCUUAGUUUUGGUGAGCUUUAAAUUGAAUGUGUGCAAUAUGGAAGGGUCCACAUUUACAAGCUGGGUGAAGACAACGUGUCCUGAUUAUGCCAGUAAGUGUUUCAGUGCUUGGUUGUUAUGGUUACAUUUUCCAACGUGACUGCACUCCUGCCUGGCGUAACUCCUUAAGGAUGGCAGCACACUUGGGCUUCUGUCUGGAUGAUGGAAAAGCAGUCGGGACAGCCAUAGGAGUAUAAGAGAGUCGGCUUUUGGAAUGUGCAGUACUCCGUGUAUUUCUAUCCGAGGAGACAUACCCUACGGUGCAGUCCUAAGUACCAGUGUUACCCAAAGAAAAACGUUUGCUUAUCUCUUAUUGGCAAACACUUAGUUUACUAAUGAGUUUGGAAUAAUUGGAAUUUCUCCCAUGUACUCUUUAAGGUCUUAACUGGGACCUCUGAUUCAUUUCUUUUAGAUAUUUCACUGGAAACACCAAAGGAAUAGUGCUCCGUAGUCUGUCUCUGGUGCUGGUGGGAGCACUCGUACCCAUGCGCGUGGGUUUUGCUGGAGCGCACUACUUUGUGUAAUUCAACUGCCAGUUAUUUGUUCAGGGUUCUUGGUUGUGGUGGUGGCUUGCUUGCUUGCUUGUUUUGACACAGGGUCUUGCUACAUAGCUUUUGCUAGCCUAGAGUUCUCUUUGUGGACCAGGCUGGCCUGGGAUUCGUGGCAAAUCUCCUGCCUCAGGAGGAGAUCUAGUGCUGUGGUUCAGGUCUAUAUCUUACUCCUAGCUUGAUACAUGCUCUUGAUUGAAUAUGCAGUUAUUGUAUAUGC